CAGUAGCCGCGGUAAUACGUAGGGUGCAAGCGUUAAUCGGAAUUACUGGGCGUAAAGCGUGCGCAGGCGGUUGUGUAAGACAGGUGUGAAAUCCCCGGGCUUAACCUGGGAAUUGCAUUUGUGACUGCACGACUAGAGUGUGUCAGAGGGGGGUGGAAUUCCACGUGUAGCAGUGAAAUGCGUAGAUAUGUGGAGGAACACCAAUGGCGAAGGCAGCCCCCUGGGAUAACACUGACGCUCAUGCACGAAAGCGUGGGGAGCAAACAGGAUUAGAUACCCCCGUAGUCCCUGUCUCUUAUAC
rnacentral:rRNA from 1 species